rnacentral:rRNA from 1 species
GAUGAACGCUGGCGGCGUGCCUAACACAUGCAAGUCGAGCGAUUCUCUUCGGUGAAGAGUGGCGGACGGGUGGGUAACGCGUGGGUAACCUGCACUGUACACACGGAUAACAUACCGAAAGGUAUGCUAAUGAGAGAUGAUAUAUAAAAGUUGCAUGACUUACAUAUCAACGCUUUUGCGGUACCGGAUGGACCCGCGUCUGAUUAGCUAGUUGGUAAGGUAACGGCUUACCAAGGCGACGAUCAGUAGCCGACCUGAGAGGGUGAUCGGCCACACUGGAACUGAGACACGGUCCAGACUCCUACGGGAGGCAGCAGUGGGGAAUAUUGCACAAUGGGCGAAAGCCUGAUGCAGCAACGCCGCGUGAGCGAUGAAGGCCUUCGGGUCGUAAAGCUCUGUCCUCAAGGAAGAAAAUGACGGUACUUGAGGAGGAAGCCCCGGCUAACUACGUGCCAGCCGCCGCGGUAACAC